GUUCGGGAGGUGCUUCCAAGAGGACGGUGGUUCUUGGGUUGGGCGGCUGUUUGUGAGCUUCUCUUUCUUCUUUUUGCUUGUGUGGAUCUUGAUUUUGCAUACAUUAAAUUGCAUAAACACCCAACAACAGUUAGAGCCAUAGUAGAGAGAGUCAACGCACCAACAUAUAACCUCAAAAAGAAGUUGGCAGCUUGGGCUAUGAAAUUGAUGGGACAAUCGAACAACUCCACCACCGUCACAACUCAAGCACUAGCUAGGAUAAGAGAGAUCAACUGGGAUGAUGGAGACAACAUAGUAACUUACGACUACAAGAAUCUAUACCCAUCUUUGGAAAUAGAACCAGCAUGCCUAGCACUGUAUAGAUUCCUCCUCACCAACACAGCUGAACUACAAGUCGAACCAACGCUUCUUAGAAACUUGGCGCACCUUUUAACACACAAGUCGUAUUACACCU
rnacentral:lncRNA from 1 species